rnacentral:misc_RNA from 1 species
AAGUCGUAACAAGGUUUCCGUAGGUGAACCUGCGGAAGGAUCAUUAACACGUAUCCAACGUUAAAACAACCCUGUGAACCUUCAAUCUUGCUCGCGUGGCUCCAUGAAAGCAGCAAGGGUCACCAUGCCCCUUAAAUCACCACACUGUAACGCCGACAGGUCGCGAUAAUUCCGCUGACCACAAAAAACCGAACAACUGUUAACAAUGGAUAUCUUGGUUCUC